UACUAUUCACACUUGCUUUGGCCAAAGACUUUCUAAACUUAAUCUCAUGAAUCAUAUAGGACUUCUUCUUUUCUAUCAAGAUCGAUAGAUUUCAUCUAGAUGCAUCUUACUUCAAAUAGCGAAGCUGGACCUACUAUAGCCAACAUACACAAUAAGGACCGAAAUGGCUAGGAACCAAGAAAAUAUGUAAUCAAACUCAGUAGUCUCAUUACGAAUAGCCAUUGAUACCGCAGAUCAAAGGAUCACUCAUACCAUUAC
rnacentral:lncRNA from 1 species